GGAGCUUUCUGUAUGGGUUGAAGUCGUACCGUAAGGAGCGGUGGACUGUACAGAAGUGAGAAUGCUGGCAUAAGUAGCGAGAAAUAAGUGAGAAUCUUAUUGGCCGAAAACCUAAGGUUUCCUGAGGAAGGUUCGUCCGCUCAGGGUUAGUCGGGACCUAAGCCGAGGCCGAAAGGCGUAGGUGAUGGACAAUCGGUUGAUAUUCCGAUACCACCUAUUUACGUUUGAGAAAUGGGGUGACGCAGUAGGAUAAGAUGUGCGCACUAUUGGAUGUGCGUCUAAGCACUUAGGCAUGCUUGAUAGGCAAAUCCGUCGAGCUAAGCUGAGGUGUGAUGGGGAGCCAUUUAUGGCGAAGUAUCUGAUUCCACACUGCCAAGAAAAGCCUCUAUCGAGUGAAUAGGUGCCCGUACCGCAAACCGACACAGGUAGGUGAGGAGAGAAUCCUAAGGCCAUCGGAAGAAUUGCUGUUAAGGAACUCGGCAAAUUGACCCCGUAACUUCGGGAGAAGGGGUGCCUACGAAAGUAGGCCGCAGAGAAUAGGCCCAAGCAACUGUUUAGCAAAAACACAGGUCUCUGCUAAAGCGAAAGCUGAUGUAUAGGGGCUGACGCCUGCCCGGUGCUGGAAGGUUAAGGGGAACACUUAGCGUAAGCGAAGGUGUGAACUUAAGCCCCAGUAAACGGCGGCCGUAACUAUAACGGUCCUAAGGUAGCGAAAUUCCUUGUCGGGUAAGUUCCGACCCGCACGAAUGGCGUAAUGAUUUGGGCACUGUCUCAACAGCAAAUCCGGCGAAAUUGUAGUGCAAGUGAAGAUGCUUGCUACCCGCGAUUGGACGGAAAGACCCCGUAGAGCUUUACUGUAGCUUAGCAUUGAAUCUCGGUAUUGUCUGUACAGGAUAGGUGGGAGACUUGGAA
rnacentral:rRNA from 1 species